UACGAGGGGGGCGAGCGUUGUUCGGAAUUAUUGGGCGUAAAGGGCGCGUAGGCGGUGCGGUAAGUCACCUGUGAAAACUCUGGGCUCAACUCAGAGCCUGCAGGCGAAACUGCCGUGCUGGAGUGUGGGAGAGGUGCGUGGAAUUCCCGGUGUAGCGGUGAAAUGCGUAGAUAUCAGGAGGAACACCCGAGGCGAAGGCGGCUCUCUGGGCCCGCCCUGACGCUGAGGCGCGAAAGCGUGGGGAGCGAACGGG
rnacentral:rRNA from 1 species